AAAAGAUGAAUAAACAAUAGAAAUAUAAGGAGAAUUACAUUUUUUAUUUAUAUUUUCCUUCAUCAGGAAGUGUGGGGGAUUCUUUCCAGGAAGUGAUGAAAAAUCUUCUGUUAACAACAGACGCGGUGACGAGGGUGCGAACAGCAAUCGGUGGCUCCUCCUCUCUGACUCGCUCACUUUUACCUGCCAGAUGUUUGGAGGUGAAACAAACUCCACCACACUGAAAAACCGAACUACAUCUGAUUCUAAUCAAGUUAAAGUUUGAGGGGAAAAA